AUGCUCCCCUUCAGCUGUGGGCGGCACGAUAAUUACUGCCAUCCACCAUGCUGGUCUGGCUUGUCACACAGGCUGCUGAGCCCAGCGCCGCCUCCCCGGCCCCACGUGUGCCAGACGCUGCCAUUUGGCUUCCCCGGCCACAGCUUUGGUUCUUCCCGGCACCGGGGACAUCAGCAGGCUGCUGCCGGGGCUGUCCCGUGCUGGAUCCCAUGCCUGGCUGCCAGGAGAGCUCUGGGGACAGCCACUGCUUGGGCAGAUUGGAAAACAAGCUCUGCGGGACACCCCAAAGGUCAGGGAGGGGGUAGGGGCUGUGAGCAGGGGGCUGGACCAGAACAUCUCCAGUGGCCCAAGGAGCCCUGGGGUUCCAAGUCCCAGGAGUGCUGGGGCUCUUUGGGGAUGCUGUGGGAUGCAGCCACUGCCGUGCAGGGGGAGCACCAUGGGCUGAGGGAUGUGCUGUCACCCUGGCAUGGGCACAGAACGGGCCACUCUCCUCCAGGGCACCCUUGUGCCCCAUAGGAGCAGGCUGGGGGCUGGCAGGGGGGCAGCUCUGUGCCUGGACAGCCCCUGGACCAUGAGAUCCAUCAAAAUGGGAUGGAGCUCUGCUACAGUCCCUGUACAAGCACCCGUGGCUGCAUGUGAAACAGAAACCUUGAACCAUGGCUGGCUCCUGGUACCUCCAGAGAUGUCUCUGGGUCAGGGGCAGGUUUGUCUUGGUCAUCACCCUCCCUGGGCAUGUGUCAAAGUGGAUCUUCAUUUCUCACCUAAUGUCUGGCUUGAACAUAAACUGCUUCAGUGUCCUCAUUCAGGAAGAGAAGGACGAAGUUGUGGCUGCCCCUGUUCAAGGGGUGGUUCAAGGUCACCUUGGACAGGGCUUGGAGCAACCUGAUCCAGUGGAAGGUGCCCAUGGCAGGGGCUGGAACAAGAUGAGCUUUGAAGUCCUUUCCAAACUGUUCCAAGAUUCUUUGAGGGACCUUGGCUCACAUUCAGCAUCUUGCAAGACUCAUUUCUCACUAUGGACAAUGGGACCUGGAUGUGGCCACAAAUUGGCAUGGUCCUUCCAGACUGCCACAGCCUCAGGCUGUGCUUCCCAUCAUUGCAGCAGCUCCUUCUGUGGCUCCUCUGGUCCAACAGCAUCACAGCCCCAGUCCUGAGCCCAUCCAUCGUGUCUUUGGACAGCACGUGUGCUCAAGCACCUGGCCCCUACCUCAGUUUCCCCAUCCCAUCCGAUCCCUCUCCCUGGCCACAGCAGCAUCCCAAGGGAGCUGGACAGCUGCAGCUGAAACACGGGGAGAUGCAACAGCUGAAAAAACCAAUCCGUGCUCUGGCAGCAUCCCUGGGAUCCUGUUGGAGGCUGUGAUGGAGAGCAGAAUGGAUCUGGCCCCUGUCUGAGUCGUCCUUUCCCAGCACCCAAAGUGCUCAGAUUUGCUGGGAAUGCACGUGGUAAAGCAAAAUUUAGGAGAUCUGAGGUGCCAGCAGCUCUGCAGCUCCUGCACAGGUUACAUGGAAGAUGAACUUU
rnacentral:lncRNA from 1 species